UAUAUAUAUAUAUAUAUAUAUGAAAUCUUGAUUCAACUUCACUCUCUUGUUUGGGACUUCUCUCUUCAUUUUCCCAACUGGUUUUUUGUAAAUGGAAAGCCCCAAAGGAGCCUAAAGCACCGCCAAGGAAAGACUGAAAGAAAGAAAGACUGAAAGAAAGAAAGAAAGAAAGAGAAAGGAAGGAAGGAAGGAAAAGACUCUUUCUUUUGCAACCCAAAGAGCCCAGACCUCCAAAGGGAUCUGUGUCUUGCCUUUUUCUUCUCGUUCUUCUGCUUUUGUUUGAAUCAUCAUCUCCUGCCAAGCUGCAGUUUGCAAAGCUGCAGAGAGGAAGAAGGGAGAGAGAAAAGGAGAGAGAGAGAGAGAGAAGGGGAGGAAAGAAAGGGAAAGACCAUUUCUUUUUAAACCCAAAGAGCCCAGAACUCCCAAGCGAUCUCUGUCUUGCUUUUUUACUUUCCUUUUUCUAAACCAAGCUGCAGUUUGCAAAGCUGCAGAGAGGAGAGAGAAAGGAGGGAGGGAAGGAAGGAGGGAAGGAAGGAAAAGACCAUUUCUUUUUAAAUCCAGAACUCCGCCGCGAUCUUGCUUCUUUUUUUCGCCUUGCGUUCGUCCUCUCCUGCCAAGCUGCAGUUUGCAAAGCUGCAGAGAGGAGAGAGAGAAAAGAAAGAAGGAAGGAAGGAAGGAAAGCAAGAAAGGAAGGGAACCGGAGAGCGAGGCGACGGCCGGCCUGAUGCCCCAGGAAUAGAGAGGCCCAAAGGAGAGGCCCGGAGGCCAAGCAUCGCCUCCGCCCCACCGGCUGCAGCCCAGACACUCCGGGCGCAGAGGAGGAGGAGGAGGAGGAAGAGAACAAAAUCCCCCCGAAACCAAAGGGAUCCUUGGACUUUCCAUCAACCCAAGAGGAUCGGAACCUUCCCAGCAAUCCUUUUGGAUCGGAACCUUCCCAGCAACCCGAGGGGAUUUGGACUUUUGCAGCAACUCAAGGGGAUCCUGAGACUUCCCUGUAACCCAAGAGGACCGGGACCUUUCUAGCAACCCAGGGGGAUCCUGAGACUUUCUAGUAAGCCAAGGGGGAUCGGAACCUUUCCCAGCAACCCAAGGGGCCCUCAACCUUUCUACUAACCCAAGAGGAUCGGAACCUUUCCAGCGGAGACUUUUGAACCACCGGAAGGGGAUCCAGAAACUGAAGGGGGGAUCGGAACCUUUCCAAAGCCAGCGAAGGGGAUCUGAGCCUCAGGGGGGGUGUGAAGCUGUCCAGCACCCGAAGGGGGAUCGGAGCCAAGGACCCUAGGCGCUGCCCCCUCCCUGCCCCAAGCUGGCUCACCCUCUGGGUCCCUCGGGCCCCUCUUUCUGGAGGAGCGGGCUGGGGCUGGGGGCCGUGGUGCCCGGGAAGCGGAUGGCCUCGUCCUCCUCCUCCUCCUCGGCGGGGGCCUCGGGCCCCUCGGAGCUGUCCCUGGGGGCCCCGGCGGAGCUGCCCACCAGCCCUUUGGCCAUGGAGUACGUCAACGACUUCGAUCUGAUGAAGUUCGAGGUGAAGAAGGAGCCCGGCGAGACCGAGCGGCUGAUCAGCCAGUGCGGGCGCCUGAUCGCCGGCGGCUCCCUCUCCUCCACCCCGAUGAGCACCCCCUGCAGCUCCGUGCCCCCUUCGCCCAGCUUCUCGGCCCCCAGCCCCGGAUCCGUCGCCGGGGGCAGCACGGCCAGCGGAGGCCAGGACCAGAAGGGACACUUGGAAGACUACUACUGGAUGACCGGCUACCCCCAGCACCAUCAUCCCCAGCAGCAGCACCAGCAACACCAUCAUCCCCAGCAGCAGCAGCAGCAACAACAACUCAACCCCGAGGCGUUAGCCUUCAGCCCUGAGGAUGCUGUGGAAGCCUUGAUCAACAGCACCCAUCAUCCCCUGGCUGCUGUGGUGGCCGCCGCGGCCGGCUCGGGAGGAUCCGGAGCCUCCUUCGACGGCUAUGCCAGGGGGCAACCCCAAAUGGGCACCAUGCCCCCCGAAGAGAUGGGCUCGGCUGCCGCGGUGGUCUCCGCUGUCAUCGCUGCGGCGGCUGCUCAACAACAACAGCAGCAACAACAGCAUCAGCAUCACCAUCCAGGCUUCCAUCACCACCAUCACCACCAUCAUCCCGCCUCGGCCGGGAGCAGCAGUAGUAGCACUUCUUCCUCCUCGUCGUCGUCUUCCUCCUCCUCCUCUAGCAGUAGUAGUGCUACUCCGGGCUUGCACCCGCCUUCGCUGCCCUUCGAGGACCGCUUCUCGGACGAGCAGCUGGUGACCAUGUCGGUCCGGGAGCUGAACCGGCAGCUGCGGGGGGUGAGCAAGGAGGAGGUGAUCCGGCUGAAGCAGAAGCGGCGGACCCUGAAGAACCGGGGCUAUGCCCAGUCCUGCCGCUUCAAGCGGGUCCAGCAGCGCCACGUGCUCGAGUCCGAGAAGAACCAGCUCCUGGCCCAAGUCGAGCACCUCAAGCAGGAGAUCGCCCGCCUGCUCCGCGAGCGAGACGCCUACAAGGACAAGUACGACAAGCUCCUGGCCAGCGGCUUCCGAGACACCGGUGGCAGCAACGCCAACAACGGCGGAUCCGGACCCGCCAGCGGCAGCGACAGCCCCUCCUCGCCCGAGUUUUUCAUGUGAGUCCCCCUUUGGGAGUGGGAGAUGAUGAUGGGGGCAUGCCUCCUCCUUCCACAGCCCCCGCAUCACCGCAUGAUGCCUCGAACCCAGGACUUGGGCUGGGAUGGGUUAGGGACACCUUUUGGUUUUUGGACACUUUGGAGAGGAGUUCCUGCACGGCCAGCAAGGGGAAAAGGUGGCAGGGCUGCAUGACCCUUGGACCCUUCCAGCUUAGGGAUGCCCAAAGCAUUGCACCUCUGCCCCACAAACUCAUGAUCAAGCCCCAGGAGGAAGAUUCCUCCUCUUUUGGUUUUUGGACACUUUGGAGAGGGAGUUCCUGCAGGUCAGCAAGGGGAAAGGUGGCAGGGCUGCAUGACCCUUGGACCCUUCCAGCUUUAGGGAUGCCCAAAGCAUCGCACCUCUACACCACAAACUCAUGUCAAGCCCAGGGGGAAGAUUCCUCCUCUUUUGGUUUUUGGACACUUUGGAGAGGAAGUUCCUGCACGGCAGGGAGAAAAGGGGUUGGGCUGCAUGACUCUUGGCUUGUAUCCACACACUGGGAUGAGCCCACACAUUGCAGGGGUCACUGGUCUGAGGCUGCUUGGAACUGCCCUGGGGCUUCCAUCCCCCUCCCUUCCCAUAACACAGCACAUAACGCACAACACAACACAACACACACAGUGGUGGUGUGGUUGGGGGAGAUUCCUUCUUUUUUGGUUUUUGGACACUUUGGAGAGGGAGUUCCUGCAUGGUAGGGGAAAGGUGGUUGGGGCGCAUGGCUCUUGGAGAGAGAAAGGGGGACCCGGGGCUGUCCCCACACACUGUUCUGAGGCGCUUGGAACUGCACAACACAACACAA